CCACUUUAGAAAAAGAGUUAAAAAUAAUGCCAGCAGCACAGUGACCAGCACGUACAUGGUGUCCUCCACAAAUCCUUCUCACUGUAUAAAGUCAGCGAUCCCCGGCGCUAUCUGCCAGCUCUGAGCCCGCUCUGUGUUGUCACUGUAUACACCGGUAUCAUGUCCUGUCAAUGUA